rnacentral:rRNA from 1 species
ACACAUGCAAGUCGAACGGGCACUUCGGUGUCAGUGGCAGACGGGUGAGUAACGCGUGGGAACAUACCUCUUGGUUCGGAACAACACAGGGAAACUUGUGCUAAUACCGGAUAAGCCCUUACGGGGAAAGAUUUAUCGCCGAGAGAUUGGCCCGCGUCUGAUUAGCUAGUUGGUGUGGUAAAGGCGCACCAAGGCGACGAUCAGUAGCUGGUCUGAGAGGAUGAUCAGCCACAUUGGGACUGAGACACGGCCCAAACUCCUACGGGAGGCAGCAGUGGGGAAUAUUGGACAAUGGGCGCAAGCCUGAUCCAGCCAUGCCGCGUGAGUGAUGAAGGCCUUAGGGUUGUAAAGCUCUUUUGUACGGGAAGAUAAUGACGGUACCGUAAGAAUAAGCCCCGGCUAACUUCGUGCCAGCAGCCGCGGUAAUACGAAGGGGGCUAGCGUUGCUCGGAAUCACUGGGCGUAAAGGGUGCGUAGGCGGGUUUUUAAGUCAGAGGUGAAAUCCUGGAGCUCAACUCCAGAACUGCCUUUGAUACUGAAAGUCUUGAGUAUGGGAGAGGUGAGUGGAACUGCGAGUGUAGAGGUGAAAUUCGUAGAUAUUCGCAAGAACACCAGUGGCGAAGGCGGCUCACUGGCCCAUUACUGACGCUGAGGCACGAAAGCGUGGGGAGCAAACA